rnacentral:rRNA from 1 species
UACGUAGGGUGCAAGCGUUGUCCGGAAUUAUUGGGCGUAAAGAGCUCGUAGGCGGUUUGUCGCGUCGACUGUGAAAACCCGAGGCUUAACCUCGGGCCUGCAGUCGAUACGGGCAGACUAGAGUUCGGUAGGGGAGACUGGAAUUCCUGGUGUAGCGGUGAAAUGCGCAGAUAUCAGGAGGAACACCGGUGGCGAAGGCGGGUCUCUGGGCCGAUACUGACGCUGAGGAGCGAAAAGCGUGGGGGAGCGAACAGG